AUGUAUUUACUUACUUUGAUUUCUCUCCUGAACCGUGUAUCUCUAUUAACACUACUUAUUUUGGAAAGUUUUCAACAGACUCCAGAAGAAGCUGCCCUCAUCCCUCACAAGCCCAUAACCCGCUUCUAUCUUCCCUUUUUGAUUCUUGACCCCGUUGGUGAAUCUAUAAGAAAGGCAGGACUCAUCAUUCAGUCCCACAGACUUGAGGAAAACGCAAGACCAAGUAAAGGGCAAGGCACAGAGGGAUUCCUUAUCUUUGACCAGCUACUGAUGAUCAUGUCUUAUACCUGGAUGAGUGCCGAAGUCAAAGCAGGACUUUUUAAAAAAGGAUUCCACAUGGGUUCCUUUGGGAACCCGUAUUUACUGUGAUGGAGAUCAAGCCUUUAUAGAUUUUUUUGUUAUUGAGAUAUAAUCAACGUAUGAAUUUGUGUAAGUUAAGGUGUGUAGCAUGUUGAUUUGAUAUAUUUAUGUAUUAAAAAUGAUUAACAACAUAGCAUCAGCUAACACUUCCAUCCCAUCAUAUAAUUACCAUUUACAUGUCUUUUAUUUCUUUAUCAUGCUUGAUUUCUGUAGCUCAGAUUACCAGCUGAAUAAGAUUAGUGAGAGUGGGCAUCCUUGCUUUAUUCCUGAUCUUAGAGGAAAAGCACUCAACCUUUCACACUGAGUAUGACAUAGGUUUGUAAUUUGUGGCCUGUAUUAUUUUAGGG
rnacentral:lncRNA from 1 species